rnacentral:tRNA from 1 species
CGGGGUAUAGCGCAGUCCGGUAGCGCGCCUGCUUUGGGAGCAGGAUGNUUCAGUAUUCCUGGCUCGC